UCGGAAUUACUGGGCGUAAAGCGUGCGCAGGCGGUCCGCAAAGUCUGAUGUGAAAGCCCCGGGCUCAACCUGGGAACUGCAUUGGAAACUAACGGGCUUGAGUGUGGCAGAGGGGGGUGGAAUUCCACGUGUAGCAGUGAAAUGCGUAGAGAUGUGGAGGAACACCGAUGGCGAAGGCAGCCCCCUGGGCUAACACUGACGCUCAGGCACGAAAGCGUGGGGAGCAAACAGG
rnacentral:rRNA from 1 species